rnacentral:tmRNA from 1 species
GGGGGCGUACUGGCUUCGACUUGAAGUUUGAAGCGCAGACGGCAUGUCGAGGAUGGUUCGUUGGCCUCGUAAAAAACCGAGCCAAAACAAUAAACGCAGAUCACGAAGAUCUCGCUCUCGCGGCUUAAUUGACCGUGACGUUUCCGGCGUGACGCCUGCUGGCGCCGGAGACGUGGACAGCAGGCUGGCCGGCGGCGGAGCGACCGCGCUUAGCCGGUGAAUCGAUUUCGCGGACGCUCGGGGGCCGGCAGUGUGCCGGUGCAACGUUUGGCUCCUUAAAACCAAUCACCGGAUAAACAUGUAGAUGUUUGCGUGGACCGCUUCGAGGACAGGGGUUCAACUCCCCUCGCCUCCAUUU